rnacentral:rRNA from 1 species
CCUACGGGUGGCAGCAGUGGGGAAUAUUGGGCAAUGGAGGCAACUCUGACCCAGCAACGUCGCGUGAAUGAUGAAGGUCCUCGGAUUGGAAAGUUCUUUUCUAAGGGAAGAAGAAAGUGACGGUACCUUAGUAAUAAGCCUCGGCUAACUACGUGCCAGCAGCCGCGGCAAUACGUAGGAGGCAAGCGUUAACCGGAAUGACUGGGCGUAAAGGGUGCGUAGGUGGGUUGAUAAGUUAGUAGCGAAACUCCGGAGCUCAACUUCGGAAGUGCUGCUGAAACUGUUGGACUUGAGUGCGGGAGGAGUAAUCGGAAUUCCUAGUGUAGCGGUGGAAUGCAUAGAUAUUAGGAAGAACGCCAGUGGCGAAGGCAGAUUGCUAGACUGUAACUGACGCUGAGGCACGAAAGCGUGGGGAGCGAACAGGAUUAGAUACCCUGGUAGUC